rnacentral:tRNA from 1 species
GGGGCUGGGGCUCGGUGCUGGAGCGCUCGCCUGGCACGUGAGAGGCCCUGGGUUCGAACCUCAGCACCA